GAACCCCAAACGGGCUCCCUGCUCGGCACGGAGUCUGAGGUGGGGCUCCAUCUCACGAGCCAGAGACCAUAACCUGAGCAGAAACCAAGAGGCUUAGCCUUGUGAGCCAACCGGAUACCCCCACUAUGAUCAUUUCGUAGCUGCCCUUUUGGAAGAUAAGGGACCUCAACUCUUCUAGAUAGGAUAACCAGCUCAUCCCGAUUUCCCCGGGAGCGGAGGUGGAGGUGCUUCUUGCUGCAUCUGGAAAAUCUCUCAGCCACAAACAGGCUGAGACUGUGAGUCACCCAGAUUCUAGACCAAAGCUGAACAAUGAAGAGAAAACAUGAAGACAAAGAAGCAGGGGAAAAAUAUCCUUAGUAGUCCCUUUUUAUAGAUGUAACUGAAUUAAAAAAU